rnacentral:lncRNA from 1 species
AGACUUCUAGCAGCCACACAGUGAGGUCUUGAGCUGAUGUGUUUCAAGGCUAUACAAGUAAUAGAGGCAGCAGUUAUGGCCUCCUAGGGGAAGGUGAUAACCUAAGAACAUAAGUGGGGAGUGGGGGAGGAUGUUAGGACAGCAGCUAAUGGGGCUGGAGGCCAGGACAGGUCUCCAGUCCUAGAGACGCAAAGAACAAAGGCAGAAGAGGAGAGAGCAAGAAGGCCAGCCACAACAGGACCCAGAGCAGGGUGAAGCUGCAGCCCAGCGCUCACCUGGGAACCCAGACUCCAAAAGGGAAGAUGGCCUGCUGGCACUUUGAUUUUAGUCUGACGAGACCCACACCAGACCUCUGACCUACAAACUGUGAGUGCCAUUCCUGGGCUUUUUGCCCACUGUGAAGACUCCUUUAAUGAGCCCUGGAGCAGCUGCUUGUGCAGAAGCUGCAGUAAGACACAGGGCGCUCCAGCCAUUUGGGCCUCCUUGCUGAUCUUUAAACAUACCAAGCCAAGGUCCUGCCUCAGGGCCUUUGUAUAAGCUUGUCCAGUAUCUGAAAUGCUGUUCCCCAGUAGGUGUUCACAUGGCUUUCCCCCUAACUUCAUUCUGCUCAAAAUCACCUCUUCAGAGAGAUUGUCCUUGACCCACCCCCCAUUUGAAAUAGCACACUGUCACUCUCUAGUCCCUUACUCUGCUUUUUUUCCUUUAUGAUAUUCAUCACUAUCUGACACCAUACCGUAUAUUUAUUUCUCUAUUCAAUUUUUGCCUGUUUCCCCAGUAGAGCGUAAAGCUCCUGAAGGUCAGGGACUUUUGUCUGUUAAUCGCUGUAUUUGCAGCACGUAGAACAUUGCCCAAUACAUGAUAAAACACUCAAUAAGCAUUUUAUUGAAGGAACUAUGUUCCUUAAUAAGGAAUUCCAAUGUGUAAAUACUGCAAUGGCUCUAUUUUCUAAUGACC